CUUCAAAUAUAAAAAUACAUGCAGACCAAAAAUAUGUCAUCAUGGCUAAAUAACAGAGUAAAGAGGCAGUGAGAGGCUAAAAGGCAUCUUUUAAAAAUUGGAAGUUAAAUCCUACUGAGUAAAAUAGAAAGGAGCAUAAACUCUAGCAAGCCAAGUGUAAAAGU